ACACGUAUUGGGUUAAUAUUUGCUAAUGAAGUUUAUGCUUAUCUUAGUUGGUGAUCAGACAAUUAAGUUGGUUAGCUAACGCAAUUGCAGGUCUUCAAAGAAUGGCUUUUACAUGAUUCGAUCUGAAUCAUCCAUUUUGUUGAUUUUAUAAGUGAAGAAAGGUGCUGGUGGAAGAAAAGGAAAUGGUGGUCCAAAGAAGAAAUCAGUAACAAGAUCUGUUAGAGCUGGUUUACAAUUUCCGAUAGGUAGAAUUGGUAGGUACUUGAAGAAAGGACGUUAUGCUCAACGUAUUGGCAGUGGUGCUCAUGUUUAUCUCGCUGCUGUUCUUGAAUACCUUGCUGCUGAGGGCUUACUGGUGACCGUUAAUCGAACGAAAAUUGGAGUUGAUAUUGAUAUGGGUUUGUUGUUGGAUAUUGCAGGCAAGGAAGUUGGUUUUUGUUCAAUUUGUUUUUAACUUGUCCCCUAACUGUUUGGUUUAUUACCUGAAUGUUCAAAUUGACCCAUGAUCAUCGUUUUUUAAAAUGCAGAGGUAUUGAUCAUGCAAUUGUAAAUAAUGAGAUUCCAGAUGGAGUUCAUGAGCUGCCAUCGCUUUUGAAACACGUAAUUAGUCAUCAAUUUCUUAAUUUACGUAUGUCAUUUAGUAAAGAGAGUUGUCAAUCUUACGGGCGUGUUUAUGUCUAGGUUUGUGGGCAUAAUAAGAAUGAGAUCUUACUUCAAGCAACUAGUAUGAUGCUGAUGGCUUCAUUGAAGGUAAAUUCAAUUGUGUGGAAAUUUUUGAAUGAAGUGGAUAAUUUGAUAUAGUAAGAAGUACAGAACGUAAUGGUGUGUGGCAUUUAACUUCCAAGCACCGAUGGAAGCAUCAUGCAAUGCCAUUUUGAUAAAUUUUGGGUACCACCACUCUUCUUUCUAUGGAAUCUACUUGUGGAUUUUGGUGCAACAGGAUAAUUAGCCUUUGUGGACCAUGAUAUUCUCCAUAGUUUGACAUGUUAUGCUCUUUUGUUAUUAGUUUGAAAAGUGCAUUCAUUAUUUUUUUUGUACCAAGACGGGUGAUAAACAUGCAUUUAGAGAUCUAUUGGGUACAUUCUGAUGCAGACAAGGAAGUUAGUUUUGGUGGCAGUACAGGAAGCUUGAAUAGACGAGUUUUGAAAUACUUGGUUGUAAUUGAAUUGGAUAUUGCAGCUUCUACGAACCGUGGUUGCAAGGAAAUGGGAAUGGAUGGUUGCAAUAAUAUAAGGAAUGGUGGUUGUUAUCAGCCUCAGGUGAUCACGUGUUGUUGUUGGAACUUAUGGAAACUCCCCUCUUAUUUUAUGUUGUUUCUAUUACAGAGAAAGUGGCGAAAUGUGUGCAAUGAAGGAGGUUACACUUUUUGCUGAUGAUGCGAAGUCAAGAGAAAGUGUGCAAUGUUGUCAUGCACCUAAAAUAAUAUCUGCAUAACAUGUUAUGCAUCGUGAAAAUGGAUGCAUAACCUGUUAUGCAUCUACAAAAUUUGUUGCAUAACUUGUUAUGCAGUCCAG